rnacentral:lncRNA from 1 species
CUCGGGGAAAUUUUGCAUCAUGGCUCCCCUUUCUGCUUUUCACGGGCAUCGUCUGCCCUCUCCAUGAGACGAACUUCCGAAGCCCCCUCGCUCUCGGCUCGGAGUCCGAACACGAAUGAGUUUGGGGAUUUCGGAGACCCUGUCCCGCUUCUAGCUGAAUUGGGGUGUCCCCUGACUACCGCACACUUGGGCAAACUUCUCCAUAAACGGACCAGGGAACGCAGCCCCCGAGAAAGGAUUCUUCACGGCCGCUGCCCCCAGCUUUCGAGACUGCGCCUCUUAUUCCCCAGAAAACCUCGUUUGGGAUAAUGUCUCGCCAUUCCCACCUCACCAUCCCCAGUUCUGAAUCUUCCUUAGGCGAAGGUCAUCUCCGAGAAUGCGACUUCGGUGUUGACGUCAUUUUAGCUGCCGCAUCACUUACACGGUGCACCUCUUGUCUGUCCCAGAGGAUGGCAGCGAUUUAAGAGUUGUCUCCCUGGCCACAAGCCCCUGGCUCCCACCCCAUGAUGGCUUCUCCAGCUUUGUUUUUUUCUUUAAUAGAUGAAGAAAGAGAUCCAAGCAAAACAGCUGUGGCAGCAGUCAAGAAAGCUUGAGCAGCCCAUGUUUGAGAGAGGAACCCCUGCACAGCCUUAGAGAAGACCUUGAAGAGACGAUGUCAGAGAAGGAGG